CAACAGGCACCGGGCACGGGGGCUGGCAAUGGGCAUGGCACGCUGGGAGACGGGGCACGGCACACCGAGCAGCGGGCAGCAGUAUCCGGUGUAAGCCCUCGCUGCUGGGUGGUGGCAGCUGGUUAUUCAUGAGCCUCUUGGAUGUGCCACUGGCCACCAGCACCUGCUGUGCACGGAGAGGGGUGGCACCCAGGAUCCCCCCCGUGCUUGUGUCCCCUUUGCUGACACCCAGCUUUGGCCAAGGCGACGUGUGCAGAUAUUUUAAGAGGAAGACUCUGUGCUCUCACAGCUUGACUGCUAAUUUAUAAUCCUGUUUUCCUAUUAAAAUAAAAGCCUCUCUCUUAUUCCCGAA